UCAUCUUCCCACUUAACUGCUGUUACUUAACAGUGUGAGAUUUGCAUCACAUUUGUCUCUUAUUAAGCUAGUAAUUACAUAGUAAGCAGGUAGCACAGGUAAUCUAGAUGAGAGAUUUGAGGCUAUUAUUGGAAAUGUCUGAAGUCUGAACACUUCAAAUAUCGAACAAUUAACAUUUUCUUUUUCUCUUUAGGUUGGCUGUUUCUUGACUCCAGUACAUUGAUGUUUGUAAAUGCUCCUGUGAGAGUUUAUCACGUUGCAGAUGAGAAACUGAACUGAGAAAGGCAAAGUCUCUGGAAACAUAACUGAAAAAGGAAUUGGUUCUAGAAAGUAACCCAAAAUGGGAAGCUUUGAUAGAAGUAUGGAAUGAGAUUGAAAACGAGAAUAAGAACAGUGAAGACUUCGGUGGUCCGGGUGAGAAAAUACUAAAUAACGAGAAGUGCUUACUUGUGCCAGUGAUGACUGAGCUUGUGCACAGCUCAGGGAGUAUUUUACUGAUGGAGAAGAAGCCUUUUUAACGAGACUAUA
rnacentral:lncRNA from 1 species